rnacentral:lncRNA from 1 species
AUGCUCGUAUGUGGGCGAAGGAUUCAUGCUUCUCCUGUAUAGAGAGAGUUUACCUAUCAAAUAAAGAUAUUCCAAUCUGUACAUAACUGUGGACGGCAAUUUGAGAAUCAUAACGCCACAUCUACCUUUCUAGCAGAGAAGUAUUUUGAUGAGAUUAGAAGUGACAUAAAAUAGAGUGUCAAGGGCUUUGGAGAGCAAGUUAGGAGGGAUGUGAAGAUUUCUAUUUCGAGGGCACAGUGCUAUAGGGCCAAAAGCAGAGCAUUGGAGAUUAUUUAGGGCAGCC